CGAUCAAAGCUGCGCCAGGCUGGUUGCAACGAGGUCAAUGUAAACAGAAGAAGAGGGCGGGAUGAAGAUGUUGAUGAGGGUAGGUUUUCCUUGAAAAAACCCAAGCGAGGUGAGAUCAAUCAUGUGCCUGAUCAUCCAGAAAACUACAACGAUGAUACCCUCGAAGACCAAAGAUGUGUCCUAGUGGAUGAAAUGAAAAAGAGGAGCAAAGACAUGGAAGUCAUUCGACAGAUCAUGGACCUCACGUUCUCUCUUCAGGAGAAAAGAGAUUGUCGAGGUACAGCCCAUGGUCUUGGAAAUCCAGGAGAGAUGGCCUGCUCUGUUUCUCGAAGAACAGAUUUGCAGAGAGUUCGAUCGUAUCACCACCAAGGACCUGUUGGGGACUUUCAGAGCAGCCAUGGAUGAGUACUGUUCCCGACUGCUUUCAGCUGUACCGAGCCAGGAAAGGAGCCUUUGGACAAGACAUGGAAAACCUUUUGAAAAGUCUUGAUGAACAGACAUUGCCCGGCAUCGAAAGAGAACCUGUGUGGAAGGUCUGCCCUUAUUUGUCCGUGAUACGCCGGGGAAGCUUUUCCUGAAAUGCUUGGUGUGUACAUUAUCAAUACCUUUUCCAUCAAUUAUAAUGCAUAUGAAGUGUAAUGCUCACUAGACCUAGUAUCAAAUUAUUAGUGAGCUAGUUUACAUGUAGAGCCCGUUUUUCCUGUUGUAUUGUGUGAUCGUUGAGCAAUCACACAAGUUUUUUGUUUUGCAGUUACAUUUUAUUUUAAUUGAAUCCACAUUUUUUCAACAGGAUUCUGAUAUGGAUGAUAGGCAGACCGUUGGUGUCAAGAUGGGUAUCCUCACUGUUGUCGCAGACGAUGGUGCACCCUGCCUCAUUUCCAACAAUCAACAGUAUUGCUGUUGUCUUGGAAGAGGAUGUCGUCCUCACAGAUCUGCCAGACCUCCCCACUGCAUUUGCCUACCUUUUUUGGCCCACUCUAUGCCCUAAACAUAGAGUUUCCCCAAGGAACUGAGGUAUACUUUUGAAACAAUUCAGCACAUCUUUAUGGGACUUACGACCAGUUGCUCACAGCGCAUCAGGAGCUUGAAAACUAAGCUCUUACAAUAAGGAAGAAGAUGGAAAUUUUCCUAAGAGAUCUAAAAGUCCUCAACUAGAUGUGCCUGUCUUUCAGGCCUAUAUGACUUGAAGUUGGAGUUCCCGCCCCAAAAUACACA